rnacentral:Y_RNA from 1 species
AGCUGGUCCAAGUGCAGUGGUGUUUACAACUAAUUGAUCACAACCAGUUACAGAUUUCUUUGUUCCUUCUCCACUCCCACUGCUUCACUUGACUAGCCUUUU